rnacentral:pre_miRNA from 7 species
GUCUAGGACCUCUGGGUGGUCGCGCUGAUUCCCGGCCAAUGCACCAAAUGAAAGACCCCCGAAGGGAGACCCUUACUCAGACACUCAAGUCCCGGGACAGCCGCGUACCCAAGAAGACACUGAGACCA